UACGUAGGGGGCGAGCGUUGUCCGGAAUUAUUGGGCGUAAAGGGCUCGUAGGCGGUUUGUCGCGUCGGGAGUGAAAACCAUGGGCUUAACUCAUGGCUUGCUUUCGAUACGGGCAGACUAGAGGUAUGCAGGGGAGAACGGAAUUCCUGGUGUAGCGGUGAAAUGCGCAGAUAUCAGGAGGAACACCGGUGGCGAAGGCGGCUCUCUGGAACGCAACUGACGCUGAGACGCGAAAGCGUGGGGAGCAAACAGG
rnacentral:rRNA from 1 species